rnacentral:rRNA from 1 species
UACGGAGGUGGCGAGCGUUACUCGGAUUCAUUGGGUGUAAAGGGCAGGUAGGUGUUCUGCCAAGUUAGAAGUGAAAUCCUUUGGCUCAACCAAAGAACUGCUUCUAAAACUGGCGGAAUUGAGGCUGAAAGAGGAGAGCGGAAUUCCCGGUGUAAGGGUGAAAUCUGUAGAUAUCGGGAGGAACGCCAGUGGCGAAAGCGGCUCUCUGGGUCAGUCCUGACACUGAGCUGCGAAAGCUAGGGGAGCAAACAGG